rnacentral:lncRNA from 1 species
CGGAUUAGCCUGUUUCUUAACUGGCGAUGCUAACGGUGUUUCGGAGCUGAAUUAAUCCUAUUUAUUAACAGCAGGUGGACGGAGCUGUGCUGGUUAAAUUAGUAGGUUCUGGGGUUUGUUAUAAUGUGUGAAUUAUGGCUUUAAUUCACUCCAGUCUUUAGUUAUUUACCUCAGAAUCCCGGCAUGCAGCUAUCGGCUCAAUGCUAGGUAACAGCCGAGCUCAGCAGUGCGGGUUGGAGCGUGUUAGCCUGGAUGCUAACUGGAUAUGGAAUGCUCAGGAACGGGUGGGUCUGGAACACAGGAGCUCCUCGGUAACUGACCCCUCAGGAAAAGGUCACUCCGAGAGGAUGGAUGACCUCUGGGACGCACCUGACAGGUGUGGUGCUGAAUUCAGCACUGCUGUAGCCUGAAACCGUUUCCCAGAGGCCUGAUAUUACAGCCCGUGUACUUGGCCCAUAGGUCCAGUCUGCUUCAUAUAAUAUCUCUGACAGUUGACGGGUUCUUGGGUGGAAAGAAGAACCGUAGCCUGCAGGAAUCCUCCUCCUGCUUCUGAGUGAGAUCAGGAACCACAACCUCUUAGCCAAUCACCUAUCACCAUCAUCUGGCUCUGCGAUGACUCUCAGUGUACACCAGGUAUGUUAGCAUUACUCUAGCUAGCAGAU